rnacentral:rRNA from 1 species
GAAACCCGGUGAUCUAGCCAUGGGCAGGUUGAAGGUUGGGUAACACUAACUGGAGGACCGAACCGACUAAUGUUGAAAAAUUAGCGGAUGACCUGUGGCUGGGGGUGAAAGGCCAAUCAAACCGGGAGAUAGCUGGUUCUCCCCGAAAGCUAUUUAGGUAGCGCCUCGUGAAUUCAUCUCCGGGGGUAGAGCACUGUUUCGGCUAGGGGGCCAUCCCGGCUUACCAACCCGAUGCAAACUGCGAAUACCGGAGAAUGUUAUCACGGGAGACACACGGCGGGUGCUAACGUCCGUCGUGAAGAGGGAAACAACCCAGACCGCCAGCUAAGGUCCCAAAGUCAUGGUUAAGUGGGAAACGAUGUGGGAAGGCCCAGACAGCCAGGAUGUUGGCUUAGAAGCAGCCAUCAUUUAAAGAAAGCGUAAUAGCUCACUGGUCGAGUCGGCCUGCGCGGAAGAUGUAACGGGGCUAAACCAUGCACCGAAGCUGCGGCAGCGACACUGUGUGUUGUUGGGUAGGGGAGCGUUCUGUAAGCCUGCGAAGGUGGCCUGUGAGGGUUGCUGGAGGUAUCAGAAGUGCGAAUGCUGACAUAAGUAACGAUAAAGCGGGUGAAAAGCCCGCUCGCCGGAAGACCAAGGGUUCCUGUCCAACGUUAAUCGGGGCAGGGUGAGUCGACCCCUAAGGCGAGGCCGAAAGGCGUAGUCGAUGGGAAACGGGUUAAUAUUCCCGUACUUGGUGUUACUGCGAAGGGGGGACGGAGAAGGCUAUGUUGGCCGGGCGACGGUUGUCCCGGUUUAAGCGUGUAGGUGUGUGUUCCAGGUAAAUCCGGUUCACUUUAACACUGAGGCGUGACGACGAGGCACUACGGUGCUGAAGCAACAAAUGCCCUGCUUCCAGGAAAAGCCUCUAAGCAUCAGGUAACAUCAAAUCGUACCCCAAACCGACACAGGUGGUCAGGUAGAGAAUACCAAGGCGCUUGAGAGAACUCGGGUGAAGGAACUAGGCAAAAUGGUGCCGUAACUUCGGGAGAAGGCACGCUGACACGUAGGUGAAGUGAUUUACUCAUGGAGCUGAAGUCAGUCGAAGAUACCAGCUGGCUGCAACUGUUUAUUAAAAACACAGCACUGUGCAAACACGAAAGUGGACGUAUACGGUGUGACGCCUGCCCGGUGCCGGAAGGUUAAUUGAUGGGGUCAGCGCAAGCGAAGCUCCUGAUCGAAGCCCCGGUAAACGGCGGCCGUAACUAUAACGGUCCUAAGGUAGCGAAAUUCCUUGUCGGGUAAGUUCCGACCUGCACGAAUGGCGUAAUGAUGGCCAGGCUGUCUCCACCCGAGACUCAGUGAAAUUGAACUCGCUGUGAAGAUGCAGUGUACCCGCGGCAAGACGGAAAGACCCCGUGAACCUUUACUAUAGCUUGACACUGAACAUUGAGCCUUGAUGUGUAGGAUAGGUGGGAGGCUUUGAAGUGUGGACGCCAGUCUGCAUGGAGCCGACCUUGAAAUACCACCCUUUAAUGUUUGAUGUUCUAACGUGGACCCGUUACCCGGGUUGCGGACAGUGUCUGGUGGGUAGUUUGACUGGGGCGGUCUCCUCCUAAAGAGUAACGGAGGAGCACGAAGGUUGGCUAAUCCUGGUCGGACAUCAGGAGGUUAGUGCAAUGGCAUAAGCCAGCUUGACUGCGAGCGUGACGGCGCGAGCAGGUGCGAAAGCAGGUCAUAGUGAUCCGGUGGUUCUGAAUGGAAGGGCCAUCGCUCAACGGAUAAAAGGUACUCCGGGGAUAACAGGCUGAUACCGCCCAAGAGUUCAUAUCGACGGCGGUGUUUGGCACCUCGAUGUCGGCUCAUCACAUCCUGGGGCUGAAGUAGGUCCCAAGGGUAUGGCUGUUCGCCAUUUAAAGUGGUACGCGAGCUGGGUUUAGAACGUCGUGAGACAGUUCGGUCCCUAUCUGCCGUGGGCGCUGGAGAACUGAGGGGGGCUGCUCCUAGUACGAGAGGACCGGAGUGGACGCAUCACUGGUGUUCGGGUUGUCAUGCCAAUGGCACUGCCCGGUAGCUAAAUGCGGAAGAGAUAAGUGCUGAAAGCAUCUAAGCACGAAACUUGCCCCGAG